UAUAUAUAUAUAGUUGUAUAGAUAGUAUUGCCCAAUAACUUAUUUGUUAUCAAAUAAGUAAUAAGGUAAAAAGCACAUAUAAUUUAUCUAAACUAUAAAUCAUUUUGAGUUGACUAUCUAAUCUUUCAAAAUUUAAUUUUAUUGUCCUAUUUUUCAAUUUAUUUGAUUUGAAUCAGUCAAUGAUAUUUUGACUUUAAAUUUUGAAUGCACUGUUUAUUUCUAAAAGUUCAAUUAGUAUACUUCAUCACAAUUAUAAAUUUAUAAAAAUAAGCAAUUUGCUUAAGUUUUGAAAUCAAAAUACUAUUGACCAACUCAAAUCAAAUAAAUUAAAAAGUUAGAAAUAACAUAUUUAAAAUUGUUCAUACUUUGGGUAUGUUCUGUACGUCUUUAAUAAGUAAUAAUAAUAUAUAUGGAUAACUGCCUAUGGUUUCCUACAAAGGUAUGAAAUAACAAAUUAAUAUAUUCCUACAAAACUUAAGAUAACAGAUAAAGUCUUUUCGUCUACAAAUAUAGUCUUCUGUUAAUAAAAUUUAAAUAACCAUGGGUUAAAAAUACUAACUACAAUUAACUAAGGGGUAAAAUUUUCUUCUUAUCUCAUAUAUGUAUAAUUAGUAUUCCAAUAUUGAGUCUCGUCAUCUGUCUCAUCCUCUCCCUUUUAUCCAUGGCAACGGCCUCGAUAAAAAUGAGGUAUGCCACUUGUGCCACGGGGAAAGGCGAGGAGAGAGAAAGAAAGAUAGAUAGCUAUUUUAGAAGGACAAAUUUGUAAGGGUAAAAUAGUCAUUUUACGCACUUAUCAUUAAAAAAUCAAUCGUGAAUCAAAUUGUAGGGACAUAUAUGAAUGAACUAAAACUUUUGGAGAAAUAUAUUUGCAAAUCAGAGAAUUUUUUAAAAAAUAAAUUUAAUAUCUUAAAUUUCGUAGGGAUAACUUUGCUAUUUAAUAUCUUUGUAGGCACCUGUAUAAAAUUAACCCUAAUAUAUAACUUGCCCAUGGCAUGGGAAAAUAUCUACAAGUCCCGCUUCUAUACUAUCAGUAGUACGGAGAUCUCUGUUGCUAGUAAGUUAUUUUCAAUGAUGUAGUUUCCAAAUCGACGAUCAGCUCCGGUUAAACUUGAUCUACACUAUUGAAAUCAUUUGGAAACUAAAUUUCAUAACUUUUCGACAUUAUUUACCUGUGAAACAAGUAAUCCAAAAAAUGAACGGCUAAUAAUAAACAUCUCAUAAAAAAUAAUAAUAAAAGACUUGAAUUUAAGAUCAGAGAUACUGAUCUUAUUCUAAAUAGUGAAAAAAAAAUUAUAAAAAUAUUAUCAGAUUUAGAUUAUUUUACACCGUUAAAUUUACAAACGCCUCACAUCGACCGUUAAAAAAUUAUCAAUUUUGAGACCUUCUGAUCACUAGCCGAAUAAUAUCAAAAAGUUAUAAAAUUUAGUUUUCAAAUACUUUCAAUAGUGUAGAUCAGAUCUAACAGAGCCGAUCGCCGAUUUGGAGACUGCAUCAUUGAAAACAACUUGAUAGGACGGAGGUCUCUGUGCUACCGACAGUACAGCAGCGGUCUAUAUCUCAAUAUCUACUACU
rnacentral:lncRNA from 1 species